AAGUACCCCGAGGAAAAGAAAUCAACCGAGAUUCCCCCAGUAGCGGCGAGCGAACGGGGAGCAGCCCAGAGUCUGAAUCAGCUUGUGUGUUAGUGGAACGGUCUGGAAAGUCCGACGGUACAGGGUGAUAGUCCCGUACACCAAAAUGCACAGGCUGUGAACUCGAAGAGUAGGGCGGGACACGUGGUAUCCUGUCUGAAUAUGGGGGGACCAUCCUCCAAGGCUAAAUACUCCUGACUGACCGAUAGUGAACCAGUACCGUGAGGGAAAGGCGAAAAGAACCCCGGCGAGGGGAGUGAAAAAGAACCUGAAACCGUGUACGUACAAGCAGUGGGAGCACCUUCGGGUGUGACUGCGUACCUUUUGUAUAAUGGGUCAGCGACUUAUAUUCUGUAGCAAGGUUAACCGUAUAGGGGAGCCGCAGGGAAACCGAGUCUUAACUGGGCGUUAAGUUGCAGGGUAUAGACCCGAAACCCGGUGAUCUAGCCAUGGGCAGGUUGAAGGUUGGGUAACACUAACUGGAGGACCGAACCGACUAAUGUUGAAAAAUUAGCGGAUGACUUGUGGCUGGGGGUGAAAGGCCAAUCAAACCGGGAGAUAGCUGGUUCUCCCCGAAAGCUAUUUAGGUAGCGCCUCGUGAACUCAUCUUCGGGGGUAGAGCACUGUUUCGGCUAGGGGGUCAUCCCGACUUACCAACCCGAUGCAAACUACGAAUACCGAAGAAUGUUAUCACGGGAGACACACGGCGGGUGCUAACGUCCGUCGUGAAGAGGGAAACAACCCAGACCGCCAGCUAAGGUCCCAAAGUCAUGGUUAAGUGGGAAACGAUGUGGGAAGGCACAGACAGCCAGGAUGUUGGCUUAGAAGCAGCCAUCAUUUAAAGAAAGCGUAAUAGCUCACUGGUCGAGUCGGCCUGCGCGGAAGAUGUAACGGGGCUAAACCAUGCACCGAAGCUGCGGCAGCGACAC
rnacentral:rRNA from 1 species